rnacentral:rRNA from 1 species
CCAGCAGCUGCGGUAAUUCCAGCUGUAAUAGCGUAUUUUAAAGUUGUUGCAGUUAAAACGCUCGUAGUUGGACUUUAGGAUGCGAUGGGUUUGGUCCGCGUUUAGCGAGUACUGACCUGUCCAUCCUCCUUAUGGGAUACUCACCUCUGCGCUUAACUGAGUGGAGGUAGCAGCCGGGCAACCGGUCGGGUUCCCAUUCUUUUACUUUGAAUAAAUCGUAUUUUGAUCAAAGAAGGCCGGAGUGCCAAUGGUCGAUGCAGCAUGGGAUAAUACAAUAAGCGUCUGUCUUGUUGUGUUGGUUUCUUAAAGAUGGACGAAUGAUUAAGAGGGAUAGUUGGGGGUUUUCGUAU